UGGGGAAUAUUGCACAAUGGAGGGAACUCUGAUGCAGCGACGCCGCGUGAACGAAGAAGGCUUUCGAGUCGUAAAGUUCUUUUAUAUGGGAAGAUAAUGACGGUACCAUAAGAAAAAGCCCCGGCUAACUACGUGCCAGCAGCCGCGGUAAUACGUAGGGGGCUAGCGUUGUCCGGAAUCACUGGGCGUAAAGGGUUCGCAGGCGGAAAUGCAAGUCAGGUGUAAAAGGCAGUAGCUUAACUACUGUAAGCAUUUGAAACUGCAUAUUUUGAGAAGAGUAGAGGUAAGUGGAAUUUUUAGUGUAGCGGUGAAAUGCGUAGAUAUUAAAAAGAAUACCGGUGGCGAAGGCGACUUACUGGGCUCAUUCUGACGCUGAGGAACGAAAGCGUGGGUAGCAAACAGG
rnacentral:rRNA from 1 species